rnacentral:rRNA from 1 species
GUUAAGUCAGAUGUGAAAUCCCCGGGCUCAACCUGGGAACUGCAUCUGAUACUGGCAAGCUUGAGUCUCGUAGAGGGGGGUAGAAUUCCAGGUGUAGCGGUGAAAUGCGUAGAGAUCUGGAGGAAUAUCGGUGGCGAAGGCGGCCCCCUGGACGAAGACUGACGCUCAGGUGCGAAAGCGUGGGGAGCAAACAGGAUUAGAUACCCUGGUAGUCCACGCCGUAAACGAUGUCGACUUGGAGGUUGUGCCCUUGAG